AUUAAUGUAGCUAACCUUAAUCAAAACAUACUACAGAGGUAGCUAGUGGAGUGACAGGAAUAAGGUAUCAACACCAACGAGCACUUACUGUCCAUAGUAAUAAGGGGCCGAAUCUGACAUGUCCUCCCAACCUGCUCCCAUGAUUUUUGCCUCUCCAAACAAAGUGGUGUCAGAAGCAGGACACCCCUCCUAAUUAUUGAGCUGAAGUGUUUCAGCCACAUCCAUUGAAUACAGAUGCAUAAAAUCAAUCAUUUAGACAUGCCAUAUCCAUAAACAAAUACUGGCAUUGGAAUGGGUCAUACUGAAGAGCUCAGUGACUUUAAGCAUGGCAUUGUAAUAGGAUGCCACCUUUGCCAUAAGUCAGUUCGUGAAAUUUCUACCCUGUUAGAUCUGCCCAAAUCAACUGUAAGUGCUGUUAUUGUGAGAUGGAAACAUCUAGGAGCAACAACACCUCAGCCACGAAAUGGUAGACCACGGAAACUCACAGAGUGGGGCCCCAGAUUGCUGAAGCAAGUAAAAAUCCCCUGUCAUCUGUUGCAUCACUCACUACAGAGUUACGAACCUUUUCUGGAAGUAACAUCAGCACAAGGACUAUGCGUUGGGAGCUUCAUGAAAUGGGUUUACGUGGGCGAGCAGCUGCACACAACCUUAACAUCACUAUGCGCAAUGCCAAGUGUCGACUGGAGUGGUGUAAAGCACGCCACCAUUGCACUCUGGAGAAGUAGAAACGUGUUCUCUGGAGUGGUGAAUCACGCUUCACUAUUUGGCAGACUGAUGGGCAAAUCUGUGUUUGGCGGAUGCCAGGAGAACGCUCCCGAUCAGAAUAUGUAGUGCCAGCAGUAAAGUUUGGUGGCCAACGGAUAAUGGUGUGGGACUGUUAUUCAGGUCUUGGGCUAGGCCCCUUGGUUCCAGUGAAAGGUAAUGUUAAUUCUAGGGCAUACGAAGACAUUUUAGACAAUUAUGUGCUUCCAACUUUGUGGCAGCAGUUUGGAGAAGGUCCUUUCCUAUUCCAGCAUGGCUAUGCCCUUGUGCAGAAGGCAAGGUCCAUAAAGACAUGGUUUGAUGAGUUUGGUGUCGAGGAACUACAGUGACCUGCACAGAGCCCUGACCUAAAUCUAGUUGAACACCUUUGGGAUGAAUUGGAAUACCGAUUACAAUCUAAGACCCCUUGUCCAGUGUCAGUGCCUGACCUCACAAGUGCUCUUUUGACUGAGUGGGCUCAGAUUCCCACAGACACACUCCAAAACCUUGUGGAAAGCCUUCCUCAAAGAAUAGAGGCUGUUAUAGCAGCAAAGGGGGGACCAGCUCCUUAUUAAUGCCUGGGGUUUUGGAAAGGAAUGUCCAACAAACGUAUAUACAUGUGGUGUUAACAUGCUUUUGGCCAUAUAAUGCAUAACAGGAUAUGGGAUCCAGCAAGGUUUUUGUUCUCCAAAAGAUCUUUCAUGUGUUCUCGUUUGUAUUGAAAAUGGAUUACCCCUUAUUCUCUUCAUUAUUUAUUCAUUAUUAUUAUUAUUAUUCAUUUUAAGUAUCAUUACAUGCUUAUUGUAAACAAAAUUGUUAACCACUUCUAAUUUUGUUUACUGGCAAUCUUAUGAAUCUGACUAAUAUAUUUUGUCUAGUUGGUAAAUAGACAAAAUAUAUUAGUCAGAUUUAGUAAUCUAUCUUUAAAUUUAAAGUAGGAAAGGAAUUAAAGUGACUGUUCACUUUGCAUGUUCUAUGUGUUUGAUACAUCAUUGGACAAUGAGGUAUAAAAUAGUUUUAACUUUGUUCAGGGUGAGCCUCCUUAAAGGAGUGCACCCCCCAAAAAACAUUAUUUUUUGUAUUAAUUAAAUGUAUGAAUAUGCAUAAGUCCUGAACAAACACGUCCCCUCCAUUGGCAUGUACAGGAUUUCUUUUUAAAAAGGGAUGUUGAUAGUUUUGUGGCUGGGUCUGGAAGAACAAGCAAAGCUUAUGCAAGAAGAAACUUAAGGUUUUUUUUUGUUUGUUUGUUUUUUUUUUGUCUUUAGAGAGACCAAGCCAUUUGCUUGUUGCAUUUCAUUUUCUUAUCUUUUAGUGCAUGUUCUUUGUCAGAAUUUGCACAUCACAACCUUUUCAUGACCUAUAUUUUGACCAAGUGAAUCUGUUUUAGUUUGUGCCGAUAGAGAUGGAGGUUUUGUCCUGUAGCUGUCAAUCAGUCAGUUACAGAAUCUUCAGCAAAGACAAAAAUAGCCUACAGAACCUACUGGUUCCAAGAUUCCCACUAUGUUCUCUUCUGGAAAGACCUACAUGCAACUGCAGCUAGCUCUCUGAUGGAGCCAGCUUCAGGAAUCAAGUCCAGUGGUUAUGGAACAGCAGGGUUGUUUCAUUGUCCAUUGGCCCCACGUUGCUUGUAGAGGCUUGUGAACCAGCAAAUUGAUAGAAAGGGGAUUCUUCUCUACCUGCCCAGCCAGUAUGACCUGGUUGAACCCAUUGAACCUAUUAUCACCUACAUCAUGAGUUGGCAGGGUUAGGUUACUGCAAUUUCUAUGCAUCAGCAUUGGACUAAGUAAUUUCUUUCACUCAUUUUCUAAGUAUCCUAUGGUUCUUCUCACAGGUUACUUUUUUCUUUCUUUUCCCAUCUUUAUUUGUUUUAACUAUGAUCAGUCACCCAUGAAUCUUGUUUGGUUACUUUUGUUAAUUUUUUGCUAUAGCUCCAUUUUAUUGAAUUCGAUACAUCAGGUCAUCGGUCAUGAUCUGUAAGCAAGAUUCUCUAACUACUGCUAAAUGUAGCAUAAGAAUUUUCUGGCAGAAAAAAAUCCAAAUUUGGACAAACAUUACAAGCAAUGUGAACUGUUUAGAAAGAAAUUACCAUAUCAUUGGGCAAAUUAACUGAAACCAGAACCUUAAUAAAGAUCAUUCCUAUACAAAAUGCCAAA